GCAAACUUGAACUAUCACUUUCGAACACCCAUCUCCUACUUUGACCUUUCUCUGAUCCCACGUGCGUCCCUUCUCUUUUCCUCAAGAACUUCAACCCGUUCAGCAAAGCUAGGGCUUCAGCUUGCUGGGGGGAAGACGCCCGCAGCUCUUUAACAAAACCCUCGAAGACGAGCCCUGACGGAUCGCGCAAAACCGCAGCAACUGAACAUAAAUAUUCGCCCGGAGUCCACGAUGCAUCAACAUUCAGCUUCAUCUCAUCUUUUCCCGGCGGCUUCCAUCUAAUCGGUAAGCUUCGAGCCGUGGGUCUUUGCUGUUUCUGAUUCGCCCAUCUGCUGAAAUUCUUUUGUUGUGCUUGUGCUAGAUCUACAAUAUCAACCGAUUGUGGAGGCUUUGCUCGGAAAAUAAAGUUAUUUCGGGUCUUCCAUAUGUUCCACAGCACCGCGGCCACGAGUUCUCUUUCAGGUAAAACAUCCCUUCCUUCGAAAACUUCCAUGAGCCACUUAUCGAACCUUGUGAUGUUGCAUGGGUUUCUGAUGAGAUUGAUUCGUGGGUCUGCCCAUAUUUUUUUCGUCCAUUUGCAGAGUAGAAAUAGGUGUUCUGUUGUUUCCAUAUGUGUGGUGCAAAGUGGACAGUAGGGGUCGGGUAGUAGCUUCCUUUUAUGCAAGUUCUCCCUCGUAGGUAUGGCGUUUUGACAUAGACUCCAUAGGAAAGUUCUCAUUUUCGGAGGGAUAGCUAGACUCCAAAUUCCAGUCCAAAGUGUUCUUGGUGGCUUGAACGAGCAAGAUGCUCUGUUUUGUUCUGUUCUCGUGGUAUUAGAAUAGGCCAUAUUGUACCCACUCUUCACAGUAUAUGUCCCCGAUUUAUUACCUGUCCAAACUAGACAAUCAUUCUUUGGGAUCGGGCUGAUGGGUAUCGCGAGUAUCUCAUUUGCUGCUUUAUCUUCGAAAAGAUUAAGGAUCAAACUUUCCUUCCAUGUCCUCGAGUCUUCAUUGAUCAGUUCAUCCACCAUAACUGGAUCAUUUUGGUUGGCUGGGCCACCAAGCACUCCAAACUUUAGCCAUUUGUCUUCUCGUAUAUUGAUAGACUUGCCAUCCCCCACUGACCAUUUAACCUCUGAUUCUAUGGCCUCUCGUCCUGUUAAAAUGCUUUGCCACCCCCAAGAUGGCCGCUGCCCUGUUUUCGCCUUCCACAAGUCUCCAUUUGGAAAGUAGAUGCCUUUCAAUAUUUUACUCCACAAAGCUGAAGGAUUCUUGGAUAAUCGCCAAGCUUGCUUGCCGAGCAUUGCUCUGUUAAAAUUUAUCAAAUCUUUGAACCCCAAACCUCCCUCAUCCUUUCUGGUUUUUAAAGUUUCCCAAUUCUUCCAAUGCAAACCUCUUUUUGAUUCACUUUUCUACCACCAAAAUGACGCAAUUCUUUUUUCUAUGGCUUUGCAAAUAGAGAUAGGCAAUUUAAAGACGGACAUCGCAUAAUGAGGGAGGGCUUGUACAACACUCUUUAUAAGAAUUUCUUUUCCUGCUUUGGACAAUAACUUUUCUUUCCAUCCCUCUAAUUUCGAGUUUACUCUUGCUAUAAUCCAGGCGAACAUCUCCUUCUUUGAAUGACCCCAUUCUGUUGGUAUUCCAAGAUAUUUCCCUGUUUUGUCUAUGAUUGGUACUCGAAGCUCUUGUGCUAGGUUUCUUUUCAGAGUUAGAGGAUAAUUACUACUGAAACAUACACCUGAUUUGUUUAAAUUAAUAGCUUGGCCUGUUGCAAAGCAAUACUGGUUGAGAAUAUUUGCUAAGUUUUGGCAUUCUACGAUAGUCCCAUUCAGAAAAAAUAUGGCAUCAUCUGCAAAGAGUAAGUGAGACAAUGUAGAGCAGAACCUGUUUAGCUUAAUCCCCUGAAUGCUUCCGUCUUCCAAGGCUUUGUUCAUCAUCCAAGUUAGAACAUUUGUUGUUAAGAUGAAUAAAUAUGGGGAAAGAGGGUCGCCUUGUCUAAUUCCUCUUGAAAGGGUGAAAAAUUGAGUAGGCUCCCCAUUUAUCUUCACACUUAGGGACACCGUCGAAACACAUUGCAUGAUUAAAGAUACCCACCUCUCACAGAAACCCAUUUUCAGCAUGCAAUCCCUCAAAAAAUUCUAUUCAAUUCUGUCAUAGGCUUUCUGCAUAUCCAGUUUCAAUAUCGCCUGAAACUUUUUCUUUCUUUUUGCUAUUCUCAACUGAUGUAGAACUUCCUGAACUAUGAAAAUAUUGUCUUGGAUUUGCCUCCCUUGUACAAAGGCACUCUGUUCAGGCUCUAUAAUUUCUGGAAGCCAGAUUUUUAGUCUAUUAGCCAUGACUUUUGAUAUGAUUUUGUAGCUGAAAUUGCAUAAACUGAUAGGUCUGAAUUGGCCUAUAUUUUCUGGGUUUUUAACUUUUGGUAUCAAGGAUAUGUGCGUUCUGUUUAGUAGAGGGUCGAUGAUACCUAUUUCAAAGAAGUUCUGCACUAAUUGGAACAAAUCAAGCUUGAUAUCCUCUCAAGACUGUUGAUAAAAAAGUCCAUUUAGUCCGUCGGGGCCAGGGGCCUUUAAUGAGCCCAGUUGAAAAACUGCAUCUUUCACCACUUCAAGGGUAAUAUUUGCCAUCAGAUGUUUUAUUUCCUCUCUAACUGGGCUGGGGCAUUGGUUUAGGAUUGGCUGAUAGUUCCUAGGACCCACUGAUUUAUAAAGGUUCCGGUAGAAGGACCUUAUGUGUUCUUUGAGUGCCGAUGGGUCCCUACACCAGCUUUGAUCUUCCAUUUGCAGCAUUGUAAUCCUAUUCCUCUGUCUUCUCUGUACCGUAGUAGCGUGAAAGAACUUAGUAUUCCUAUCUCCCCAUUGCAGUCAAUUGAUGCGAGAUCUCAUCCCCCAAAAUUUUUCCUCUUGUUUCCAGAGUUUAUCUAUCUGAUCAACGAUGUUCUGAGCUUCCUUCCUGCUGGAAUUUUUGGAAUUCUGGUUUGUAAUCUCUAUUAGUUCUCUGUUAAGCUCCCUGAUGCGACAUUGCGCAUUGGCAAACUUGUCUUUACUCCACUUUAGAAGCUCCUUGGACAUAUCAUUGACUUUCAUUGAGAAGCUCAUCUGGAUUAAAGGCGUUUUGUUCCAUACCCUUUUUAUAGUCUCUCCACACUCUUGGUCUUCUAACCAGUAUGCUUCGAAUUUAAAUUCUCUCUUUUCAUAAUUUCAGGAUGCAGCACAAGGAGAAGAGAGCUAUGGUCCGAACCAAUCGCUGGUAGCGCCUGAACUUCAGCAGCAGGAAAGGUAAUCCUCCAUUCCAUAGUGCAUAGAACUCUAUCUAGUCUUUUUUUAACAAGGGCCUCUCCUUCCCGGUUGUUUGCCCAAGUGUAGGCGCAACCUUUGCUGUCCAUGUCCAUUAGGGAGCACUCAUUUAAUAACUCUCGGAAUGCUGCUAUUCUGUGAUUAUCUGCUUCUCUUUUCUCCACCUUCUCCCAAACAUAUAAAAUUUCAUUAAAAUCUCCCAUGCAAAUCCACGGUAAAUGAGUUGUUGGCCGGGAAUCCUUCAAUUUUUGCCAUAGCUUUAGUCUCUCCCCGAAAUUCGUCGAAGCAUGAAGAAAAGUUAUUCUCAUUUGAUAACCACUUUCUGGAUCUUUACACUCCAAAUCAAUAAAAUCUUUAGAGCUAGCAUUUAUCUUUAACUCCACCUCCUCACUCCAUAACAUUGCUAAGCCUCCCGCAAUUCCUUCCGGGUUUUCUAGUAACAGAUUUUGGAAUUAAGUCUCCUUUUAACACCUUCCACCAUCGUUGCUUUGUUCUUUGUUUUCAUCAAGAAGAUGAGAUUGCGCCUUUCAAGAGCUACUAGAGCUCUUAGCUCCUGGAAUGUCGGGGGAUUGCCCAGCCCCUGACAAUUCCAACUUAUAAUUUUCAUAUCGUCUCCGGUGGCUUAUUAGGGCUAGCCACCACAGCCCAUUCAUUAUCAUCUUUGAUCAACUGAAUUGGGGUUUCCAAAAUCUCCGACUCCUCAAUUGUAAAAGGAAUCUGUUCUACUGUGCAUUUCUGUUUUUUUGCCCUAUGCACCUUCAUAUUUUUCUUGCUGCAUUUCCCAACCUUUGACAGGAGCGGUUUAGUAACUUCUAAACACAUAAUCUGUUUGCCAUGAUCUGUAUUUUUCAUAGUUGUAACUGCUGUAUCUUCUGGUGCCUCCUGUGUGUUUGAAUUUUCUGCUCUUUUCUUGUUGCGAUUUGGGGCGUCCCUAUGUCACUUUCAUCUCUAGCCACUAUAUCCAUUUCAUAGGUAAUAGGAGGAAUAUCUAGUGCCGUAUCUUCCUCAGCAACUUCUUCAUCUAGUUUGCCAUAAAACGCUUCCCAAUGGGGGCUAUGAUCUCGCACUUCUGCCUUAAGCCAUGGGCCAUAAUUUCCUGCUUUAUUUUCAGCCCAUGAUGUUUGCUCAUAAGGAAUUUCUUCACAAUUAGUAGCGUAAUGCCCAAUUUUUCCACACGAAUAGCAAUAGUGCGGUAAACGUUCAUAUUUAAACUCUACCUAUAACUUCUUGUUUCCUAUGUCCAGAAUAGCACCUGAUUUUAGUGGAGCUGAUAAGUCCACUUCCACUCUCACUCUUCCACCUUUCUGCGGUCCGUUUCCUUUUGAAUCCACCUGAAUUUCCAGCACUUUGCCUACCUUUUUUGCCAGGUCAGUGAACACUUCUUCCAUCAUCCACCCAGGGGGAAUCCCUCCAAUAUGCACCCAAAAAGCGCAUCGAGAAUAAUCAUAACAGUACUCUGGGAUAUCCGGUUCACAUUGUUUAAGUACUAGUAAAUUACUGGCAAAAGACCAGGGUCCGGAUUUCAUAAUUCUCUCUUUUUUCUGCUUCGAUUGAAAAACGAAAGAAAAAACCAGGUUCCUUUUGUGAGCAAGCCACCGCUUCUGUUUUCCAUGCUUUCUUCAUUACAUUUAGGAAAGCUGGAAAGUUGACAUUAAGUUUGGAGUAUAGCUUCCCAAAUAGGAUAUGAUGGCAUUCUUCCCUUUUUUCUGGGGGGAUCUCUUUCGUCACUUCUACUACAUCGUUCUCCGACCACAAGUGGCCUAGACUUUUACAUAAGGCAGCCAUUCGCAUUUCAUUCUCCUCUUUACCUUCCAUUUUUCUUUCCUGUAGGUUUGAGGUUUGGUAAAUCUGUAGAAAUUGCAGAUUGAAGGGGGCUCUGAGAUGGAGGUGAAUAGGUGAGUGGGCUGGUGGGUAUGGUAAUUAGAAGGUUGUGUAUCGAGUACAAGGAAGACACGGCAGCCAGAGAGUAUCCGCUUCCCCAGAAUCAUCCAUUUGUCUUAACAGCUCCGGACAAAUAACAAAAUCACUACAGAUCAAACAGUUGCCAUUCACUCGCUACCACUGCAUCCAAGGACUACUACUAUCUACGGUUCUCCAGUGAAGAUGGGAGCGUCAGAAUCUAUUCCACUGCAUCGAAAUCAGAGAGGCCAAAAGAAAUCCAUGAGAAUGACAACACAGCCAACCUUUUGCGAAGCUCGGAUUCUUCCAAACGCUACUUGGAUCCAUCCGAAGGGAGAGAACAGGACUCAAGACUUCUCAGAUGAGGGGAUUACGUGAUGGGUUUCAUUGUUCAAAAAGGGGUAAUCAUGAUUUUUGGGUAUCAGAAAUCUACUGGAUAUUUAGGGUUUUGGUUUUGGGGGGCAAGCUACCAAAAGGGUAGAGGGGAGCUCUCAGAGUCGAGAGAGAAAUACCGUCGUAAGUGAUUGAAUUGUUGAUAUAUCGUCAUAAUAAUGAAGCAGGAAAGAGAUUUAUUUAUUUCAA
rnacentral:lncRNA from 1 species